CCCGUUCGGACUCUGGUAACCCCGUCGUUUGAUCUGUCACCGAUGGCUCGCCACGUAGCUAGCCGUUCUUUUUGGAUUUGGAAGAGAUCGUAGCAAGGUGGUUCGUUUCCUUUGCCCAGCGGCCUGGUGCUGUCUGAUGGCUUCUACCUAUAUCGCGGUUUAAGCCGCCUAAUCGUAAGUAGCUAGUCGAUUCCUUAAUUGUUUUGGAUGGAUUUGUUAGUGCAGUGCUGAUUGUUUUUAUAUUAUUGCAGCUCGUUGGAUGUGAAUCGUCCUGGAAAUUGAAGCCCCGGGUGCAUUGAAAUUAUGCAAGUCCUUUCCUACGCCCGCUUAUUGUCUGCCCCGGGGUUUCAAGAUUUACCGUCUUUAUUACAAGUUUACGGGGUGGCCUCAAGAUGCCAGCUUCUACAAGCCGAGCUACCAGUGGCAAGGAGCUGUGCCUGGCGUUUCCAUACUUCCACGCAGAGGUUCCUGACCAACGUGGCGGUUGUAUUGUUUACGGUCUUUCGAAGUUUUGGAGGUUAGAUCGACCCUUUAUCUAAUAUGUAUUACUGAACCAGAGAUGCUGGUUCUGGCGCCCUCAUACCCUUAGUAACUUUUAAGUUUGUCCGUCAGUAGGCCGCUUCUACCAAAACAUUUUAAAAAAGAGUUCGCUAUACCCAUAACUGUUCCCUCAACACUUAAAUAAGAGUCUGAUGCUCAUGUUAUUUAGAUAAGAGCUAGUUUACCUUAAGUUCCUGUCAUUAAGGCCCUUAAGGCUCUCCGGGUUAGUUUUGAAAUUAUUUAAAUAAAUGUUUUAUUCAUA